AUGAACGCUAGCUACAGGCUUAACACAUGCAAGUCGAGGGGCAGCAUGACGGAAGCUUGCUUUCGUUGAUGGCGACCGGCGCACGGGUGAGUAACGCGUAUCCAACCUGCCCUUGUCCAUCGGAUAACCCGUCGAAAGGCGGACUAACACGAUAUGCAGUUCUCAGCAGGCAUCUAACGAGAACGAAAUGUGAAGGAGAAGGAUGGGGAUGCGUCUGAUUAGCUUGUUGGCGGGGUAACGGCCCACCAAGGCGACGAUCAGUAGGGGUUCUGAGAGGAAGGUCCCCCACAUUGGAACUGAGACACGGUCCAAACUCCUACGGGAGGCAGCAGUGAGGAAUAUUGGUCAAUGGGCGAGAGCCUGAACCAGCCAAGUAGCGUGCAGGAUGACGGCCCUAUGGGUUGUAAACUGCUUUUAUACGGGGAUAAAGUGAGCUACGUGUAGCUUAUUGCAGGUACCGUAUGAAUAAGGACCGGCUAAUUCCGUGCCAGCAGCCGCGGUAAUACGGAAGGUCCGGGCGUUAUCCGGAUUUAUUGGGUUUAAAGGGAGCGUAGGCCGUCUGUUAAGCGUGUUGUGAAAUGUCGGGGCUCAACCUGGGCAUUGCAGCGCGAACUGGCAGACUUGAGUGCACGGGAAGUAGGCGGAAUUCGUCGUGUAGCGGUGAAAUGCUUAGAUAUGACGAAGAACUCCGAUUGCGAAGGCAGCCUGCUGUAGUGCAACUGACGCUGAAGCUCGAAAGCGUGGGUAUCGAACAGGAUUAGAUACCCUGGUAGUCCACGCGGUAAACGAUGGAUGCUCGCUGUUUGCGUCUGACGUAAGCGGCCAAGCGAAAGCGUUAAGCAUCCCACCUGGGGAGUACGCCGGCAACGGUGAAACUCAAAGGAAUUGACGGGGGCCCGCACAAGCGGUGGAGCAUGUGGUUUAAUUCGAAGCAACGCGAAGAACCUUACCAGGUCUUGACAUCGAUCUAAAAGGGAUGGAGACAUCCUCAUAGCUAUAGAGAAGACAGGUGGUGCAUGGUUGUCGUCAGCUCGUGCCGUGAGGUGUCGGCUUAAGUGCCAUAACGAGCGCAACCCCUGUUCUCAGUUGCCAUCGGGUGAUGCCGGGCACUCUGUGAAGACUGCCUCCGCAAGGAGUGAGGAAGGUGGGGAUGACGUCAAAUCAGCACGGCCCUUACGUCCGGGGCUACACACGUGUUACAAUGGCAUGUACAGAAAGCAGGCCGUAUGCAAAUACGGUCGAAUCCCUAAAACAUGUCUCAGUUCGGACUGGGGUCUGCAACCCGACCCCACGAAGCUGGAUUCGCUAGUAAUCGCGCAUCAGCCAUGGCGCGGUGAAUACGUUCCCGGGCCUUGUACACACCGCCCGUCAAGCCAUGAAAGCCGGGGGCGCCUGAAGUCCGUAACCGCAAGGAUCGGCCUAGGGUGAAACCGGUGAUUGGGGCU
rnacentral:rRNA from 1 species